CUCAGGAGUGGCUGACUGGGGCUCCCUCCAGCCUGGGAUGGGGCUCUCUCUGGUUGGGGUUCUUCACCUGCAGCCCAAAGCCCAGAGCGGGUGGGGGCCUCCCUGUGCACCAGACACAGCCGAAGCCCAGCUACUCCUCCUCCUGCCCCAGCCCCACCUCACUUCUGGAAGCCUCUCUACAUGCCCUGACUCAUUCAUUCAUCUAAGUAUCUCCUGACAGGGCCUGCGCUGGGUGCAGGGACAUGCGAGCAAGCUACAGGCCUAGUGUGGCUGAUCUCGAACUCCUGAGCUCAAGCGAUCCUCCUGUCUUGGCCUCCCAAAGUGCUGGGAUUACAGGCGCGAGCCACUGCAACUGGCCCAUUAAAUUUUUAACCCCGUACUUGACGGAUCAGCUGACACUACCCAGACCAGUAAUCUGGCUCAACCAGUCCUGCGAUCCCACCCAGGAACAGAAGACAGCAAGAAAACCUCACUUCAACACUCCCGUCGAUGACUCCAUCGACCUCAGGAAGCUCCAACCAAUCAGCACUCCCCACUUCCUGAGCCCCUACCCGCCAAAUUAUCUUUCAAAACUCGGAUCCCCUAAUGCUCAGCGGAGACUGAUUUGAGCAAUAAUAAAACUCUGGUCUCCUGCAUAGCUGGCUCUGUGUGAAAUACUCUUUCUCCACUGCAAUUCCCCUGUCUUGAUAAAUCUGUCUAGGAAGACAGGCAAGGUGAACCCAUUGGGUGGUUACACACUGACCAGCCGGAUUUAGGGAGAGUUCUCACUAAUCCACAGUUCUGAUGCAGCCACCCCUGGGGGACCCUCCUGGUUACUGAAUCUCCCACUGUCUCACAGAGUCUGGAAGUCACAUCCCCAACAAGGGCCUUGGUUUCUCUCAUUGAAAAAAGAAGGACCAGAAGCUGAUGGGCCAGGAAACUCCCAGCUCUGAAUUCCUUUUCCGAUCUGCACAGUGGGGGACACGGGCACUUUCUAGCCCAGAUCCAGAACUUCCAGAAUCAUAAACAAUGGGCCCUGCAGAGACCUGGGCCGCAAUUUUUCCUUCUUUGUAUUGGGAGGAUGUACUUUGUCCACCCCUAGCUCAAAACGCCCCCUUCCGCUGGAAUGACAUGCUAUGUGACCCAAGGAGAAACACCACACCCCAGCACCAGGCCUGCUUUUCAGCCAGAAACCAAGAGGCCUAGGAGGCUGUGCUGCUAGCAUCUUGCAAGCUCUGAAAUUCCUAAAACUAAGUUUCACAACUCAGACUGGCCCCCUACUUCCCAGCACUCUAGUUUUCAAUCAGGGAGGUCAGACUGGGCCCGAAGCGUAAGGGACCCCUUCCCUGCCCAAAAACUCUCUGCUGCAUUUGGCGGAUCCCCACCUUUUUUUUUUUUACUUCAGUUUCCCCACCUGCAAACUGGGAAAACUAACUAAGGCGAG
rnacentral:lncRNA from 1 species